CGGCAGAGCAGGGGCUGCAAGGGAGCCCCGUGUGGAUUGUGCAAAGCCGGGCUGGGGGCGGAGGGGGGACUCGUCCCAGCAGCACAGGAGCCGCAAUGCCCUAAGCGUCUCCCCCAGGCCAUGCAGCGCGGGAGGGAGCCAGCCUGUAACCCCCGGGAGGAUUUAAAAGUCUCUUACCCAUUUGUACCUGAAGUCUCAUCAUAGCUCCCAAAUUUGUCGUAGCUGUUGCGGUGAUGCCCUGAAUUGCACGCCCCUCCUGGUGACCCAUUGUAAGGGCAGCUUUGCUCGAGCCAAGCAUUUGAGCUUUUAUUUAAACCCCCAGACCAAAACAAUCACAAUAGAAGCACCAUGAAACCCACCCUAGAGCCAGACCUGGACAUGCACUUCCUGAGAGCUGCUCUGAACACGGUCCUGGACACAGAACAGGACACCUCCCAAGGCCAGGUAGAGCUGCCUCUUCUGAUUCCCUUCUGCCAGGAGCAGCCUCAGCUCCCUGGUCCCUUGAUUGGCUGUAGCUGCAGAGACGGUUGGGUGGCAGAGAUGGAAGAAACAGCAGCAGGGUUGGCUCCUUCCCUCCAGAGGGGAUCAAGUUAUCUCCUGGGGGAUCCCUUCCUUCCAUGCACAUUUUGUGUUUUGCCCAACUGCCACCCAUAGCAGCUUAGCGCUUCCUUACUCUGCUGCCUACGAGACUCUCCAUAGAGAUUUGCCAAGGUCAUAGGUUGACGAACCAGUUGACAUCCUGCCCAGAACCCUUGCUAAUUGCCUGCAGUGGGGUGUGAACGAGCAAGGCCAGGCCAUGUGUUUGGUGGGGUGGGGGGAAGGGAAGGUUCAAUAAUGCAUCCCACAGACCACAGAGACCCACAUCCUGUGGCAGGUGUAGCCCCAGUUUCCGUAACUGACCCUUGGCUCUCCCUUGCUUUGCAGGCCCUGAACAAGAUCUUGCCAGAGAUCCUGGCUGGCUGAGUCCCCAGACAUAGGACAGACUCCACAAUAUCUUGGAGGGAAGCCCCACAAGGAGGGGCGGGGGCAAUUUUACCCUAGAUCUUAGGAAGACUGGUCAAGAGAGACUGAAAGAUCCAUCUCCCAGUCUGUCGUCCUAGCUGUGCCCCUGUGGAUCGACCUUGGCCAGGGCAGUAGAUGCAAUGCAGUGUCAGGCCCUGCCUCUUCGAAGAACAGAGCUCUGCCUCAGUCUGUUGAGCACUAACCACCUGACUGGCUGGAGGAGUGAGAGUCUGAACUCCUUCACUUCUCUGCUGGAAGUAACACAGGAUCCCCUGCUAACUCUGUGAGCUGCACACCAGGGUGUGCUUACUCUCAUGAACUGAGACUCAUUUCCACCUGUCAUGACCCCUGUGAUCAAUUGUCCACCAGAAAGAGCCAUGACAGACUCUGGAUCCUGAAGUACCUGUGACCUUGGAAAAAAGGGGCUUCCCUAAAAAAUCCAACCCACGCUGUCCACACAUUUCAGAAACUGAAAUUCCAAACAUCAGUCUUAUGAGAUAAAAUUUCAAAUAAGUUUGCUUUCUCAAAAAAGGUAAGCGAACAGGAUUACAGGAAGAAAUGAACAAUAAACUACAUCUACUGUAAGGACUGUUAAUGCAACAUUUUAUUAUAAAAAAUACACCACAGAAAAUGCAUAACAGAACUUUAAAUGGUAUUAGUCUCAUGUUUCCCCAUAUAAUACAGUGGGUUCUAUACACUACCUCUUAAUUUAGAUAUACUGCACCAUCUUAUCAGAUCAGAGCAGAUCUAACUUUGAUAGAUGCAGAAUGUUGAUCUGACAUGUCCAAUAUGGAUUAGCAGCAAGGUAACAUAACACUUACUUGUUUUGCAGUUUUGAAGCAGCUGCAAGGUCCUCCAAUUUUUUCUACUUUCUUCCAUGCCUACUACCAUCCUCAGAAAAAAAAGUUGGCAUCUGCUCAAUGGGAAUU